CAGUUCUCUUGUCGUCUGGACGUUAUGAUGCAAUUGAUGACUUCUUUAUCCGACUCUGCUCUUCAAGAUUCCUCCAUCCGGACAGAGUACUGCCCAUACUUUCCUGGCUGAAGGAACAAGACAUCAUGACUGCUCAGGAUCUCCAUGACAACUGGGAUGACGUCA